UACGUAGGGUGCGAGCAUUGUCCGGAAUUAUUGGGCGUAAAGAGCUCGUAGGCGGCUUGCCACGUCGGAUGUGAAGGCCCGGGGCUUAACCCCGGGUCUGCAUUCGAUACGGGCAGGCUAGAGUUCGGUAGGGGAGAUCGGAAUUCCUGGUGUAGCGGUGAAAUGCGCAGAUAUCAGGAGGAACACCGGUGGCGAAGGCGGAUCUCUGGGCCGAUACUGACGCUGAGGAGCGAAAGCGUGGGGAGCGAACAGG
rnacentral:rRNA from 1 species